UACGUAGGGGGCUAGCGUUGUCCGGAAUCAUUGGGCGUAAAGCGCGUGUAGGCGGCCCGGUAAGUCCGCUGUGAAAGUCGGGGGCUCAACCCUCGAAAGCCGGUGGAUACUGUCGGGCUCGAGUACGGGAGAGGCGAGUGGAAUUCCUGGUGUAGCGGUGAAAUGCGCAGAUAUCAGGAGGAACACCGAUUGCGAAGGCAGCUCGCUGGAACGUUACUGACGCUGAGACGCGAAAGCGUGGGGAGCAAAACGG
rnacentral:rRNA from 1 species